AACGAACGCUGGCGGCAGGCCUAACACAUGCAAGUCGAGCGAACGUAGCAAUACGUGAGCGGCGCACGGGUGAGUAACACGUGGGAACCUACCUUUUGGUUCGGAAUAACGUCGGGAAACUGACGCUAAUACCGGAUACGCCCUUCGGGGGAAGGAUUUAUCGCCAUUAGAUGGGCCCGCGUUAGAUUAGCUAGUUGGUGAGGUAAUGGCUCACCAAGGCGACGAUCUAUAGCUGGUCUGAGAGGAUGAUCAGCCACACUGGGACUGAGACACGGCCCAGACUCCUACGGGAGGCAGCAGUGGGGAAUAUUGGACAAUGGGGGAAACCCUGAUCCAGCCAUGCCGCGUGAAUGAUGAAGGCCUUCGGGUUGUAAAGUUCUUUUGGCGGGGACGAUAAUGACGGUACCCGCAGAAUAAGCUCCGGCUAACUUCGUGCCAGCAGCCGCCGUAAUAC
rnacentral:rRNA from 1 species